GCGAGGGAAGGAAGAGAAAACCUUCAGCGAGGGUAGUCGAAAAGAAGAGUCCUGCGGUAGAAAGCCACUCUAGGAGUAGGAGAGACACAGCCUUCACUGAAUGGCCAGAUCUCCAUGGAAGCAAAAUUGAAACUUGGUAUGACUAUUUGGACAUUUCAAGGAAAGAAAGUACCUUCUGCUUAAAUCAUUUGAGAAAUAGUAGCCAAAAUAACUCAUUCACAUCAGUAGCUAAUUCUUCCAUCACUUAAUGCUGGCACUGAUCCUAGUUAUUUGUAUUAAGUAGCUCACCACGUCAUAGGAUUUGUUUACAUAGACAGAUGACAGGUUUGCCUUAGUGUUAAGUGCCAACAUUUAAUAAACAACAACAACAAAAGACUUUUCCUGACACAGGCAGACCUAUCUACUCAAACUUCUGGAUUACUUUAAAGGUGCUAUUGUGAGGCAGGAGUUUUCAGUACCUUCAGGAGACAUUUAUCAUUUCAAACCCAAACACAUUUAAUGGUUACGUUAGUCCUCAUUUUGUUUGUUGCCAUUGUAGAACUGUUGCUGGGUACUCAUUCUGAUAGAAAUAACAAUAGUUUUUGAAAGCAGAAGCAUUGUUGUUAGCAGAACAACACACGCAUAUAAACACCCCAAAUAAACAUUUUUAGCUAUUUCCUUAUAGUGCUGAAAGUUAUUUGGUUAAAUUUAGCAUUGCCCAGAACCUCCAAUAAGAUUGUCUGUGAUUGGCAUGCAUGCAAAUUUAUAAAGCCAAGGUUAUAUUAAU
rnacentral:lncRNA from 1 species